rnacentral:rRNA from 1 species
GACGAACGCUGGCGGCGUGCUUAACACAUGCAAGUCGAACGCUGAAGCUCAGCUUUUGUUGGGUGGAUGAGUGGCGAACGGGUGAGUAACACGUGAGUAACCUGCCCCCUUCUUUGGGAUAACGCCCGGAAACGGGUGCUAAUACUGGAUAUUCACUGGUCUUCGCAUGGGGGUUGGUGGAAAGGGUUUUUCUGGUGGGGGAUGGGCUCGCGGCCUAUCAGCUUGUUGGUGGGGUGAUGGCCUACCAAGGCUUUGACGGGUAGCCGGCCUGAGAGGGUGACCGGUCACAUUGGGACUGAGAUACGGCCCAGACUGCUACGGGAGGCAGCAGUGGGGAAUAUUGCACAAUGGGCGCAAGCCUGAUGCAGCGACGCCGCGUGAGGGAUGGAGGCCUUCGGGUUGGGAACCUCUUUCGCUCAUGGUCAAGCCGCAACAAUGGUUGUGGUGAGGGUAGUGGGUAAAGAAGCGCCGGCUAACUACGUG